UACGUAGGGUCCAAGCGUUGUCCGGAUUUAUUGGGCGUAAAGAGCUCGUAGGCGGCUCAGUAAGUCGGAUGUGAAAACUCGGGGCUCAACCCCGAGACGCCAUCCGAUACUGCUGUGGCUUGAGUCUGGUAGGGGAACACGGAAUUCCUGUGUAGCGGUGAAAUGCGCAGAUAUCAGGAGGAACACCGAGUGGCGAAGGCAGUGUUCUGGGCCAGUACUGACGCUGAGGAGCGAAAGCGUGGGUAGCAAACAGG
rnacentral:rRNA from 1 species